rnacentral:rRNA from 1 species
AACGAACGCUGGCGGCAUGCCUAACACAUGCAAGUCGAACGAGACCUCCGGGUCUAUUGGCCCACGGGGGCGUAACCCGUGGGAACCUUCCCUUGGGUUCGGAAUAACUCCCCGAAAGGGGUGCUAAUACCGGAUAAUGUCUUCGGACCAAAGAUUUAUCGCCUUUGGAUGGGCCCGCGUUGGAUUAGCUAGUUGGUAGGGUAAAAGCCUACCAAGGCGACGAUCCAUAGCUGGUAUGAGAGGAUGAUCAGCCACACUGGGACUGAGACACGGCCCAGAAUCCUACGGGAGGCAGCAGUGGGGAAUAUUGGACAAUGGGCGAAAGCCUGAUCCAGCAAUGACGCGUGAGUGAUGAAGGCCUUAGGGUUGUAAAGCUCUUUUACCCGGGAUGAUAAUGACAGUACCGGGAGAAUAAGCUCCGGCUAACUCCGUG